GUCCAUGAAGCGAAAAAAUAGUUUACUGUGUCACUCGUCCCGAUACCCGCAUCAGGUCUUUUAGGUAAGUAGCCUAUGGCCAUUGAGGCAUGAUAGUUCAGGGAAUUCGGGCCAAUUAGAGCUGUAACUUCGGGAUAAAGCUUGGCUCUGAUGAAAAAUCAGAACCGAUUGUUACGCGGAGAGCCCAACUGUUUAAUAAAAACGUAGUGUCGCGCUGUGGUAGUAUAGCCAGUGAACGCGACAUGAAUCCUGCUCAGUGCUGUGUCUGUUAAUAUGGUUCAAGCCAACGAAGCACCGGUAAAUAGCUGGGGUAACUAUGACUCUUAUCAAAGUAGCGAAAUACCUCGUCACUUAAUUAGUGACCUGCAUGAACGGAGCUAUGAGGUUCUCACUGUCCCAAACUGUCUCUCAGCGAACCAACUGUAGUGGGAACGGUCACUAGAUAUCCAGCGGGGAAAGAAGACCCUGUAGAGCUUCACUUUGGUCUAGUCUUGUAUAGUUCCUGCGGGGGUGUAGACUAGGUGGGAGAGCAAUCGAUUCUGAAAAACCACUACCCUGUUUGGAAUUAUGCUUACCUAUCACAAGGAAUAGGACUAGAUAGAAAGUUUGGCUGGGGCGGCACACCUUCGAAAGAGCAGCGAAGGUGUCCUAAGUUGAGCUCAGUGAGGACAGAAAUCUCACGUUGAGGAUAAGGCCAAAAGCUCAAUUUACUGUGCCUUUUUGUACUAGGAUCAGUUACGAAAGUAAGGCCUAACGAUCCCUAAAUAGCCUCAGGUGCGUGAGGAUUGGGGUGACAGACAAGUUACCUCCGGGACAACUGGCUUGUGGCUGCUAAGAGAUCAAAUCAACGCAGCUUUUUGAUUCUUCGAUGUCGGCUCUUCCUAUCCUAGUGAUGUACAAGUUGCUAAGGGUCGGAUUGUUCACCCGUAUUAGGGAUCGUGAGCUGGGUUUAGACCGUCGUGAGCCAGGUUUGUUUUAUCCUACUGGAUAUAGCAUCAUGAUAGU
rnacentral:ncRNA from 2 species